GCGUGCCUAACACAUGCAAGUCGAACGAAGCAUUUGCUCGGAUUUCCUUCGGGGAUGAAAGGUUUAUGACUGAGUGGCGGACGGGUGAGUAACGCGUGGGCAACCUGCCCCGUACCGGGGGACAACAGCCGGAAACCGCUGCUAAUACCGUAUACGUUUUAAGGACCGCAUGGUCCUUAAAACAAAACUCCGGUGGUACGGGAUGGGCCCGCGUCUGAUUAGCUCGUUGGCGGGGUAACGGCCCACCCAGGCGACGAUCAGUAGCCGGCCUGAGAGGGCGGCCGGCCACAUUGGGACUGAAACACGGCCCAAACUCCUGCGGGAGGCAACUGUGGGGAAUAUUGCACCAUGGGGGAAACCCUGAUGCAGCGACACCACGUGAGCGAGGAAGUACCUCGGUAUGUACAGCUCUGUCAGCAGGGAAGAAAAUGACAGUACCUGACCAAGAAGCCCCGGCUAACUACGUGCCAGCAGCCGCGGUAAUACGUAGGGGGCAAGCGUUAUCCGGAUUUAUUGGGUGUAAAGGGAGCGCAGGCGGCGCGUCAAGUCUGAUGUGAAAACCCGGGGCUCAACCCCGGGACUGCAUUGGAAACUGCCGGGCUGGAGUGUCGGAGAGGUAAGCGGAAUUCUUGGUGUAGCGGUGAAAUGCGUAGAUAUCAGGAGGAACACCAGUGGCGAAGGCGGCUUGCUGGACUAUAACUGACGUUGAGGCUGGAAAGCGUGGGGUGCAAACAGGAUUAGAUACCUCUGGUGUUCCACCCGGUAAAAGAAAAUAUAUCAGGUUUCGGGGGGCAAAGACCGCCGGUGCCGCAGCAAACGCAGUAAGUAUUCCGCCUGGGGAGUACGUUCGCAAGAAUGAAACUCAAAGGAAUUGACGGGGACCCGCACAAGCGGUGGAGCAUGUGGUUUAAUUUGAAGCAACGCGAAGAACCUUACCAGGCCUUGACAUCCCGGUGACAGAACAUGUAAUGUGUUUUUCCUUCGGGGCGGCGGUGACAGGUGGUGCAUGGUUGUCGUCAGCUCGUGUCGUGAGAUUUUGGGUUAAGUCCCGCAACGAGCGCAACCCCUGUUCCCAGUAGCCAGCGGGAGAGCCGGGCACUUUGGGGAGACUGCCGGGGACAACCCGGAGGAAGGCGGGGAUGACGUCAAAUCAUCAUGCCCCUUAUGGCCUGGGCUACACACGUGGUACAAUGACGCAGACAGAGGGAGGCGAGGCCGCGAGGGGGAGCAAAUCCCAAAAAAGGCGUCCCAGUUCGGACUGCAGCCUGCAACCCGGUUGCAGGAAGCCGGAAUCGUUAGUAAUCGCGGAUCAGAAUGCCGCGGUGAAUACGUUCCCGG
rnacentral:rRNA from 1 species